GCCGGGGUAGUGUAGUCUGGUUAGCAUGCGGGCCUGUGGAGCCCGUGAACCCGGGUUCAAAUCCCGGCCCCGGCCCCA
rnacentral:tRNA from 2 species